ensembl:misc_RNA 7SK 7SK RNA
GUAUGUGAGGGUGAUCUGGCUUCAACAUCUGUCACCCCAUUGAUCGGCAGGGUUGAUUCGGCUGGUCUGGCUAGCUAGCCGGGUGUCCCCUUCCUCCCUCACCGCUCCAUGUGCGUCCCUCCUGAAGCUGCGCGCUCGGUUGAAGAGGACAGCCUUCCCUGAAUAGAGACAGACUGAUCUUUGGUCGAGGGUAUACAAGUAGCUUUGCUCACCUGCUAGAACCUCCAAACAAGCUCUCAAGGGAGGGGAUUGGGUAUGCAGCUCUGGGGGUGGGCAAUGUGUGGAAAUGUACCCCUCUUACCCUAUGGUCUUGUCAAUUUUUCCAUUUUAU